rnacentral:rRNA from 1 species
UACGUAGGGUGCAAGCGUUGUCCGGAAUUAUUGGGCGUAAAGAGCUCGUAGGCGGUUUGUCGCGUCUGCCGUGAAAGUCCGGGGCUCAACUCCGGAUCUGCGGUGGGUACGGGCAGACUAGAGUGAUGUAGGGGAGACUGGAAUUCCUGGUGUAGCGGUGAAAUGCGCAGAUAUCAGGAGGAACACCGAUGGCGAAGGCAGGUCUCUGGGCAUUAACCGACGCUGAGGAGCGAAAGCAUGGGGAGCGAACAGG